GCUAAAUUUCAAAAAAGCAAAUGCUAAAUUAUAAAAAUCCGAAUGCUAAAUGUUUUUCAUUUAUCAUUUAGUUUUUUAGCAUUUUGUUUUUACUGUUUGGCUUUUCCGCUCGGAGAGCGGGGGGUUGCGGGACUCUAAUAUGGGAUAUAUGUUGAUAGUGGAACAAUCUGGAAUGGUUGAUCAUAGAAAGUGAAAAUCUUGUACACGACAUUAACAUGUACUCUAGGAGCAUCCCAAGUACCACGAGGCACAUACCUUGUGGGAAUCUGGGGGAACCAUCCUCCAAGACUAAAUAUGGUAAGAGAGCGAUAGUGAACUAGUACCGCGAGGGAAAGGUUAAAAGAUGAGCGAGACGCUCAGUGAAAUAGAACUUGAAACUGUUUGCGAACAAACCGACAGAGCUGUGCAUAGCACAGAAAAACUAAAUGCUAAAAAUUAAGAAUGCUAAAUUAUAAAAAUCCGAAUGCUAAAUGUUUUUCAUUUAUCAUUUAGUUUUUUAGCAUUUUUAUUUUGGCUGUUUGGCUUUUCCGCGCUGUGCGCGGUGAUGUCGUGCCUAUUGAAGAAUGAGCCGGCGAGUUAAUACUUCAUACAGUCUAACUCUUAAAAUGAGGGAGGCACAGCGAAAGCUAGUCUUAAAAGGCGAAAAAAUGUGUGUAGUAUUAGACCCGAAACCAGGUGAGCUAACCAUGAGCAGGGUGAAGGCUGAGGAAACUCAGUCGGAGGCCCGAACCCGUUAUCGUUGCAAUGAUAUGGGACGACUUGUGGUUAGUGGUAAUAUGCCUAACGAACCUGGAGAUAGCUGGUUCUCCCCGAAAGGUCUAUAGGGACCGUGUCAUGUAAAGUUCUGCUGGCUGUAGAGCACUAGAUGGGUUAGAGAGCGCAAGCAAUUUAACUCAAUUAAACUCCGAAUACUAGCGUGAAUUAUCAUGAUAGACACUCAUAUCGGGCUAAGCUGAUAUGUGGAAAGGGAAACAACCCAGACUUUCGGCUAAGGCCUCUAAAUUGUAACUAAGUUUUAAAGGAAGUUUUUUUCCUUAAACAGCCAGGAGGUUGGCUCAGAAGCAGCCACCCUUUAAAGAUAGCGUAACAGCUCACUGGUCGAUGGGAAAAAGCGCCUAAGAUUUAUCGAGGAUAAGUUACAUGCCGAAGCUAAAGAUAUCUGUUCUUCGAACAGAAAUGCUAAAAAGAUAAAUGCUAAAUGCUAAAUUCAACACAAUUUUAUAUUUGUGUGUUUUUAUUUACCGCAUAGCGGCAAAUUUAAUUUAUCAUUUGCUUUUUUGAAAUUUUGGUUUUCUGCGCGGAGAGGAGGUGUGGUAGGGGAGCGUUACAAAUGCAGUGAAGAUCACAUCGUAAGAUGGGUUGGAGCGUUUGGGAGUGAGAAUGCCGGCUUGAGUAGCGUACAAUGAAGGUGAGAAUCCUUCACACCGAAUAUCCAAGGUUUCCACUGCAAGGUUCGUCCACAGUGGGUUAAUCGGUUCCUAAGGCGAGGCCAAUUGGCGUAGUCGAUGGACAAGGAGUUAAAAUUCUCCUAUUUAGUUUGAAUCGAAAGGGUCGUGCUUUGCACUUGAAUGCUAAAUGCUAAAAAGAUAAAUGCUAAAUUAUUUAUCAUUUGCUUUUUUGAUUUUUUGACAUUUGAGCGCAGAGCGCGAUGAAUUGGGGGUUGACCAAUUUGGAAAAUUAAAGCGUUAAUAUGAUUUUGGCGCAUAAGCUCUGAGAUAGUCUUGGCUGGAAAAUCCGCCGAGGUGAUUAAUUAAGGAGUGACGUAAACUCUGUCGCGAGAUGGGGGAUUUUAAAAUUUUCAGAUUGCAAGAAAAGACUCGCAAUGAGAGUCAAACUAAGCCGUACCGUAAACCGACACAGGUGGAUUGGGGGAGCACCCUAAGGUGAUCGAGAGAAGAAUCCUCAAGGAACUCGGCAAAAAAACUACCCGUAACUUCGGGAGAUGGGUUGCCAUGUACCAUGCGCAAGCUUAGGUAUAUGGUUGCAACUAAAGUUUAUUAGUCGACUGUUUAUCAAAAACACAGGUUGGUGCAAAGACGAAAGUCGCAGUAUACCAGCUGACGCCUGUCCAGUGCCGGUAAGUUAAGCAGAGAUGUGGUCGCCGCAAGGUGACUGCGUCGACGUUAAGCUCCGGUGAACGGCAGCAGUAACUAUAACUGUUCUAAGGUAGCGAAGUUCCUUGCCAGGUAAGUUCUGGCCCGCACGAAAGGCGUAACGAGCUAAUAACUGUCUUGAGGGUUCACUCGGCGAAAUAGCGAUGGCUGUGAAGACGCGGCCUACUUCCACAUGGACAAAAAGACCCCGUGGAGCUUUACUGCAGGUAGAUUUUGCUUUCAUAUUUUUUGAUUGUCUAGAAUAGGAGGGAGAUUCGUCAUCAGUGUAAUACCUCUCGUUGACAAAUAUGGGGCUUACUUAAUGCGUCUGGAAACGACGCGAAGGAAAGAGUUUGCUGGGCAGUUUUACUGGGGCGGUACCCUGCUAAAAUGUAACGCAGGGGCACAAAGGUACUCUUGCUACGGAUGGAAAUCGUAGUGUAAGCGUAAAAGUAUAAGAGUGCUUGACUGCAACACCGACAGGUGGAGCAGGUACGAAAGUAGGUUUUAGUGAUCCUCCGAUGCACUAUGGGUGUGCACGGAGCUUAACGGAUAAAAGCUACCCCGGGGAUAACAGAGUAGUCGCACCCGAGCGUCCAUAGCGACGGUGCGGUUCGCUACCUCGAUGUCGGCUCAUCACAUCCUGGCGCUGGAGAAGGUGCCAAGGGUCGGUCUGUUCGCCCGUUAAAGUGAUACGCGAGCUGGGUUCAGAACGUCGUGAGACAGUUCGGACUCUAUCCUGUGGAAGCGUUGGAAUUUUGAGGAGAGCUGGGGACAGUACGAGAGGACCUCUCUGGGGGAAUCCCUGGUGUGCCGGUUUUUGCAUCAGCAGAAGCGCCGGGUAGCUAUAUUCCCAAUGGAUAACCGCUGAAAGCAUCUAAGUGGGAAGCCAACUCCAAGAUUAGAAUUCCUCAUCAGACCCCGAGAAGAAGACUCGGUUAAUCGGCAAGCGCUGGAAGGCCCGUAAGGGCUUAAGGCUACUUGUGCGAAUCGGUCGAAACGCUUGUGAU
rnacentral:rRNA from 1 species